AUUCCUGUAAUAAGAAGACAGCUUGAAGAUGUUUGCAGAACUGGAUCCCUGGAUGAGAGCAGGAGGCUUUUUGUAGAUGGUCGUGAGAUCGCCAUUGUCUAUUUCCGUAAUGGAUACAUGCCCCAAAACUACACCUCAGAGAAGAGCUGGGAGGCCCGUCUGAUGAUGGAGCGCUCUCUGGCUGUGAAGUGUCCAGACAUCAGUACCCAUCUCUCCGGUACUAAGAAGGUGCAGCAGGAAUUGGCCCGGCGGGGGGUUCUGGAGCGCUUCUUCCCUGACGAACCUGAAACAGUUGCUCAGAUUCGGGCCACUUUCGCUGGGCUGUACACCCUGGACAUG